rnacentral:lncRNA from 10 species
UUGAGUUUGAAUGGGGAAGGGAGGAGCUCUAAGCGCUGUCACAAAUCCCUGAUAACCCAUUGGAAAGUCUAUAAAGGUGGAGUCACACCCCAGGGACCCUAUCCAGUGGUUGCCAGUUCUGUUUCUCCACCCAGUGAUAGAGCCAGACUGUUUUUAUGACAUUGCGAUCCAGCCAGCUCUUUGCUAUAAUCAAUGUUUCCAUUCUUUUCCAAAAUAAACAUGUGGACGGUCAUUUGCAAACAGGGAAAUGAAAGUUUUCCAUCCCUAGGUACAGUGCAUAUAUUUUUUGCAAACAAAGAAUUUAGAAAAGGAAUGUAAUCUAAUCUCCGGUGACUUUGUAAUUUGUCUGGAGCAUUAGAUCUUGGAAGGUAAUUUUUUUCUUUCAUUUAGAUUCAGGUAAAUUCCCCCACCCCACCCCAACCCCCAACCUCCUUUCUGGCUUUGUACAGAAAUUAUCAAGCAGAAUGGCAUAAAGACAAUAGGACCUUAUUGUAUCACAUUUCGGGAAUGAGCAAUGAGGAAACAGGAGCCAAGCCUGGAAAUGAACAUGUCCUUGUAAAUGACCAGGAGAAGAUAGGAGUUAAAAUAUGUAGCCAUUAUGGUGCCGGAAAAUUGCCUGCCCUCUUUGAACGAACCGGGCUCUUGAAGCUGAAAUCUUAAACUGGAAAUCUCAGCCCUAAGUUUUCCAGACAUUGUGCUCCACGUCAGCAAGGUAUUAACAGUUAUUUACUCUCCAGUUGUUGGAAUCUGGGAUUUGUCUGGCAACUGCAUGCCCUCGAUCAAAGCCAUGACUGACUGCCGUGUCAUCGUUGUGCUAUUAUUGACUUUGUUUCUUGACUUGUACUUAAAGAUGCCUCCUGGGUGUGAAGUUUUUCUUUAAAUACUAAACUACAUUUGUGAGGUUUGGAGAGUUCGCCUAGCUUUUGCCAGUACCUAUUCUUGAGGAAUGAACACUGAUCUGUCUGUAACCAGCACUACUGGGUGAAGUCCUAGACCACACUUGGGCCACCCCUUGACUUACAUGCUGUCUUCUGCCUAUGCCACUUCCACAUCAGGAACACCUGGUUAUUGAUGUCGUUUGGUCAAGGCUGAGCACAACAUUUGCCAUUUGGAUGACUGGUGAACAAUCCCUCAUGAUCCACCUUUGGUCUUACCAUGUCCUGGCUUCCUCUCUCUAACUGACUCACACUGAGGUUUCUGCAAAAAUUGGAGCU